UGUGAGGUCAACAACAAAACAACACAAGUG
rnacentral:piRNA from 1 species